UUUAAAUGUGAUGGCUAAUCUGUAUUUUUCCACCCAUUUUUGUCUCUAGGAUGUAGUAUGGGGACUGAAUUCACUCUUCACUGAUCUUCUUAACUUUGAUGACCCACUGAAUAUAGAUGCAGCAGAACAUCAUUUACGGGACAAGGAGGAUUUCAGGAACAAAGUUCAGGACUUCAUCAAAAACUAUGCAAGAUGAUGUCUCUGUCGAGCCACUCUCACAUGCAUGUGACUUUGCAGAUGCACGUCAGUCCAGACUGAAUCUCAAACUAUUAAGACAUACUUGGGGAAAGACGAAAGUUAAAAUACAUAAUGAAUGACGCCACGAGUCCCUGAUCCAGAUUUGGGAGGGGUGGGCCUUACUGUCCAUUUCUGAUGGCUUUUUUUUUUUUUUUUUUU